rnacentral:lncRNA from 1 species
GCGACCCCACAACGGGGCCCACCCCAAAGCGGAGCCAAGGAACCCAGGGCCCGAACCGGAUCCUGACCCGGAUCCGGAUCCCAAAUCUGAUCCCGAUCCCGAUUCCGAAUCCCAAUCCUAAUUCCAGAUCCUGGUUCCGGAUCCCGAUCCUAAUUCCAGAUCCUGGUUCCAGAUCCUGAUCUGGAUCCGGAUCCCAAUCCCAAUCCCGGAUCCCGAUCCUGAUUCUGGAUCCAAUCCCAAUCCCAGAUCCCGAUCCUGAUUCCGGAUCCCGAUCCUGAUUCCGAAUCCCAAUCCUAAUUCCAGAUCCUGAUUCCAGAUCCCGAUCCCAAUCCAAUCCCGGAUCCCAAUCCUGAUUCCGGAUCCUGAUUCCAGAUCCCAAUCCCAAUCCCAGAUCCCGAUCCUAAUUCCAGAUCCCAAUUCCAGAUCCCAAUCUGGAUCCGGAUCCCAAUCCCAGAUCCCAAUCCUGAUCCCAGUUCUGGAUCCCAAUCCUGAACCCAAUCCUAAUCUGGAUCUGGAUCCCAAUCCUGAUUCCAGAUCCCAAUCCCAAUCCCAGAUCCUAAUCCUGAUCCCACUUCUAAUCCCAAUCCUGACCCCAAUCCCGAUCCCAAUCCCAAUGCUGACUCCGAUUUUGAUCCCAAUCCCAGCCCUAAUCCCAAUCCAGAUCCUGAUCCCAAUCCCAACCCUAAUCCCGACCCUAAAUCCUGAUCCCAAUCCCGAUCCUGACCCCAAUCCCAAAUCCCAAUCCCAAUCCAUUCCAUAAUCCCAAUCCAUCCCAAUCCCGAUCCAUCCCAAUCCCAAACCCACCCCAAAUCCCGACCCCAAAGGUCAGAGGUCAACCCGACCCCAAAACGACCGAAACCCCACAGAGCGCCCCAUAGGACAG